UUGUAAAGAUGUAAGAAAAGUGACUUCUUAUCUGUAACCCUAAAACCAACCCACUUCCCUAAUUCUUCUCUAUCCGUUCUCAUUUUCUGUUCUUGCUUUCUCGUGCUUGUUUAACUUUAGUUUCACUAAUUCUUGCCUUAUAUAUUUUUGCGAGUUGGGUUUGUGUUAGAUUUUUUAAAAUUAGAUGGAAAAUGGUAGAGGGAGUAGCAGUAGUGAUAGUGGGAAGAGUUGCCAUAGAGGGCACUGGAGGCCAGCUGAAGAUGAGAAACUCCGGCAACUUGUCGAUCAAUACGGUCCCCAGAACUGGAAUUUCAUUGCUGAGCAUCUUCAAGGAAGAUCAGGGAAAAGUUGCAGAUUGAGAUGGUACAACCAACUUGAUCCCAACAUCAACAAAAAGCCCUUUACUGAGGAAGAGGAAGAAAGGCUUCUCAAAGCUCAUCAGAUUCAAGGAAAUAGAUGGGCUUCAAUAGCUAGACUUUUCCCUGGUAGAACCGACAACGCUGUCAAGAAUCAUUACCAUGUUGUUAUGGCAAGAAGGAAGCGAGAACGCUUGUCUUUGAUCUAUGGUAAGAGAAGCCUACAGGUUCUUCCUACUGAACCCAACAAAAAUAGUACUACUGCUUCUGCUGGUAACGAUUUUGAAAGAUGCUAUAGGCCUCAACUUCUUGAUUAUCAUCUCUAUGGUCAAUCUAAAUUAGGGUUUCAAAGCAAUGCAAUCGUAAUGAAAGGUAACUUAUCCAUGUCAUCAAGUUCUUCACCUUCUUGGACUUUCAAUAGUGCUUCAACCAUCACCAACGAGUCGUUAAGUAUUGACUUAUUUGAUGGAAAAAGAAAGGAUUAUAUCAAUUCAUCAAGUUCUUCUUCCUACAUUAAAGAGGGAUUAUCACAUGGCUUUAAUGAAUCCCUCCGCUGCAACUACCAUAGACCCAGUUCUUCCAUCUAUGGUGGAUACCACAAUAUAUUUGGACCUCAGAUCUCUAACUCUGAUAAGAAAGAGCUAUUGACUGAUGGAUAUAGAAGCAAAAUCAGAACCCAGUUAGAGGGAAUCAAUGAUGACUCAACUACAUUGAGGAAUCUGCCAAUGACUUCUCAACAAGAGCAAGGAGAUGGAGCAAUCAAGCAAAAAGAUGUUUCCUUUAUAGAUUUUCUCGGUGUGGGAAUCUCUUAAUUACAUAGAACCCUAAUCUUGUUGAGCUUCUUCAUGCAUAUAAAGCAGUUGAUGAUGAUUAAUUAUGCAAGGAGAAGAGGCAUCUAAAUUUUGUUUCACCCAACAUUAUUUAGAACAUUGGUUAUGGCCUUCUCAGAUUUCUUCCUUAGUGCAGUCUCCAUAGAGAAGAGGUGAUGUAUGAAUAGAUGAUCUAGAGAAAGAAUCAACCAUGCCAUAUUUUCUUGUUGGUAUGCAACCAAGGGCAAAGACAGUGAUAAAAGGACUACUGCAAAAAAUUGAUAAUCUGAAGAAGGCAGAAAGAAAGAGAGUAGAAAACAUAGAGAGAGAGAUAAAAGAUGCACGAAAGAAAUAAAGAAGAAGCUUGAUGUGAUUUGGUGUUUUAAUUAGUGUAAUUUGGUUCAUACUAAGGCUGUAAAUUAUUUGUAGUAAUAUUAGAGUAGGAUAGCGUUGCUUAGGGGUGUCGAGCUUUUUGGCAUGGAAGAAGGUUGACGUAGCAAUAGUAAGAUGUCC